GUCACGUGGGGCGCGCGGCGGGUCACGUGGGCGCGCGGCGCCAUUAGAGGCGUCAGGUGACGGGCGGGAAAUGGAGCCGGGCCCGGCCGCCCUCAGCCCGCUCCGCCCUGCCAUAAGCGCGACUUCGUUUGUGACCCUUCCCGGCUUCACACAGUUCUGCAAACUCUUUUCAGCAUAAUGUUUUUACAUGUAAUGACGUUUUCCUGUUCGCUGCUUCCCGUAUAAAUGUAAAUAAACUUUGUAGGGGAGGUAAAAUCUCAGCUGAAGGGCUUCAUGCACAAGGAUCUUAACUCCAGUUCUGCCCUUUCCAGCAGUUCUCUAAUGACCCUGACAGAAGUACUAACCCUGGUUACUACUGACAUUUUCUCUGCCAGCAUCUCCGCUGCUUCGCGUCUGUCCGCACCCAUGGCCCCGGCGAUGCCUCGCUUCUCCCAACUCGCCGAGGUCGUUUCUGGCAUCCCGCCUUCUCCCGGCCCUUCCUGCUCCGACCCGGCUCCUUUGCCGUCGGCCGAGCCGCCUCAGUGGUGCCCGGGGCGGGGAGCGCAGUCCCGGCUCCGGCUGCGCCCCCGGCUGCCCCAGGGCUCCGGGAGCCACCCAGCCUCGGCUGAUGGAGGGAAACCUGUCAGGGACAAGCACCAAAAUCCAACAAACUCGCCUCUGUCUUUAACAGGCAUUCGACUCUACAGCUCGUGGUUUGUAUAUUUGAGUGGGAUAAUGCUUCUGAUGUAUUAAUUUUUACAUGUCUAUGAUGGUUUUUGUUUCGUGAUGCGUUCUGCACUUCAGACACACAGCAUUCUUUUUCUCAGAAAUUUCAGACACCAGUAAAUGCAAGUGUUUCAAUUUUCUGAAACCAAGUACAGUAUUAUUUUAAAGGUUCUUUUAACUCUAAAAAUGAAAAUUUGCUUACAGUUCUGUUACAUACAUAUAUAACUCUGUCAUUAGCAAAUGCAAAACAAAUUAUUAUGGAGAAUGUAGCUUAAACACAGCCUGCCAUACUAAAUUUAAUUAAAAACUGGUGUAUAUCUAAAUUAUUUUCUACCUUCGUGGGAUGUGUCUGAUCAAAAAGGAAACCAACCAGGCAGGCCAGGAAAUUGUGGAAGGACUGUCAGCUCUUUUGAGCACUGUGUUCAAAUAUAUGUCUAAUCCAAUUAAACCCGAGUAAAUGGUCAGAGGCUACAGCAUGCUCUCCCAACAACUCCUCCCAUGGCAGAACUGGGUGCAGUGUUUCAGUGAAGCUCUGCAGUUGCUGAGAUAGGCAGAGCAGAUGGGAGUGGUAUCAAUCAGUUUUCACCCUACUUAAAUACACUGCCAUUACCUGCACUUAAUGUUGGGUCUUUUGCCUUAAUAAGGUGACAUAAAAGCCUCAAUUUUGGAAAGCACAUAAACAUGUUUUAAGAAAAUUAUGAGUUCCAUGAUCAAAAUGAAGGGGGAGAAGAGGUGAUACUUACUAAAAAAUGAUAGCAGAUAAUGAGAAGCAGAAGGAAAAGACCUUUUUAUUUUGAACAGAGAAGAGUUUGUGUAAGCAGAAACAGGAAUAUUAAGAAAAAGCUAAGCCAUUAGCUAAGUCAGUGUAAAUACGUCAUGGUUUGGACUGUCUCCAUCUUCAGUCAAGUUCAGGAGUCACAUGAAUGAGUUCAUCCUACAAUCAGGAUCUAGAAAUUCCCUGCACUGUUACUCGUUUCUGCUUUAACUGUUAAUUCUUGUUCUGUAAAUAGGUCUCUUGAAAAGGGAACAUUGUACCACAGGGCCCCUGAGCCCUGGGAUCAGCAGUGCUGGGUCAGGCUGAGGACAAACAGCAUGGAGCUGCUCUAUGGUGCCCCUCUGUAGUGGGGGUGGGAGGCAUCUCAGAUCUUUGUGCUAAUUUAAAACUGAAGCCACAUCUCCUAAAAUCAUCAUAAUUAUACCGUUUGUGUGAUUUGCAGCCGUGGCUUUCUUGGUAGCUGUUGUACAAGUAUGUCAGCAUGAACCUGAACCUCCCCAUCAUCCCAAUCAAACACUGGCAUUAAGUACAUACAGUUUUACCAGAAUUAUUUAAAAAGACCUCAAGCCUUUGUGCGGGGGUGAUGAGAGAGAGAAAUAAGACAUGUUAAAAUGUUUUAUAAAGAUAUAUUUUAACUUCUAAGGCACUCAGGAACCAUGGUGAUGGUUCUUGAAAUUGCUUAGAUAUGAGCUCUGAUCCACAGGGAACUAUCCUAAGAUUCAGAAAGAGCAUCAGCUGGUAAUAACUUCUAGUCAGUACCUACCUGGGCUUGACUGAACAGGUGACACACAUCAGAAAUCCCUUGAGACUCAUCUUCAUGUGAAUGACCACUGCUUUCGCAGUGUAAAGCGACCUUAAUGAAAAUGAGGCUAUUGCUGUAAUCUUGCACUGCUGGGAGGUUAAAAACAAUCUCUCAUCCACACUGCUGGGCCUUGGUGCCAGAAAAAAUUUACUUUCCUUCCCAGUAUUUCUUUUUUUCUGCAUUCAACAUUCUGGCAGACUUUGCAUGGAGCUUAGACACCAUGGAGUUAAGAUGAGAAAACAGAUUGCUGUGGUUGUUCUGUGCAUGCCAAGGGGAGCACAAAAGAUUAUUAAUUGCAGAAUGAUUCUGUCAGUAACAGCCUUGAUCCUGCACUGGGUAUCAUUCUGUCACUGUCAGAACCUGUCACUGUUGUAGGAGAUGUCUUGUAUUAUCUAUCAUGUUCUGGUUAGUUUUGCUGUUCACAAAUACAGUUUGAAAACACAGUUGCAAUUUCAAAUCAUUUUCAUAUUCUUUAGUUUUGAACAAGUAAUUUACAAUCAUACUCUAAAUAUUUUUAAAGGGAUCUAUUUUACAGCAACCUUAAAAGCUUAUAAUAUAAAUCUAGCUAUUUUAAUUAAUAUACUAACAUUUUGUAGCUGUCUGUAUAAAAUUAAGUUGCUUUUAUUUUUCAACUGCAGUUGUAGCAGUAUCCAGGCACUGUCCUGCAGUUCAGGAAUGGAAAUUUCCCAGCCUCAAAGCACACUCUGUCUCAGUCAGCUGCAAUAAAACUCUGAGUGAUUUCAA